UAUUUAAAUAAAUUCUAGGUAUAGAAUUCUAAAUUGAUGAGGUUCUUUUCUUUCAAUUCAUAAAAAUAGUUGGUCCAUUGUUCUCUUGAUUAUUUCCCAUAAGGAAAUCUUAUACAUAAUGUGUCAUUUUUCUCUAGCUGGUUUUGAGCAAUUGAUUACUAUGUGCCUUGACAUAGUUUUCUUCAUGUUUCUUGUGCUUGGGGUGCAUUGAGCUGCAUGAAUCUGGAGUUUUCACCUGAUUUGAAAACAAAUUUAGACAUUUGAAUUUUUUAAUACCAAUUUUCCUCUCCUUUGGAAACUCCAAUGCAUUUAUAUGAGGCUGCGUGAUUUUGUUAUAUAGCUCUCUGGUAAGUAUAAAAUGUUAUUUUAUUUAUCUUUUGAAAUUUCAUUUAUUUAUAGACAACGUCUCACUCUGUCACCCAGGCUGAGUGCAGUGGUGCGAUCACAGCUCACUGCAGCUUCAACUUCCUGGGCUCAAGUGAUCCUCCCACCUCAGCCUCCCGAGUAGCUGGGACUACAGGCACAUACCACCACGCUUGGCUAAUUUUUUAUUUUUAGUAGUGUAGAGAUGGGGUCUUGCUAUGUCACCCAGGCUGGUUUUGAACUCCUGGACUCACACAAGCAAUGUGAUCCACCUCAGCCUCGCAGUGUUGGGAUUACAAGCGUGAGCCACCACAACUGGCCUAUUUAUCUUUUUCUUAGAGACAGGAUCUCCCUCUGUUGCUAGGCUGAAGUGCAGUGGCACAAUCAUAGCUCACUGUGGCCUCAAACACCUGGGCUUAAGUGAUCCUGCUGCCUCAGCCUCCCCGGUCGCUAGGACUACAGGAACGCACCAUCAUUCCUGGCUAAUUUUUUCUAAAAAAAAUUUGUUUCCUGGCUGGUCACUAACUCCUGGCCUGAAGUGAUUCUCUUGCCUCAGCCUCCCAGAGAGCUGGGAUUGUGGGCAUGAGCCAUCUUGCCUAGCCUAGUACAAAGUUUCUAAAAUUACUUUUUCUCUUUUUGUUCAUUGUGAAUAGUUUCUAAUGCUAUGACUUCAUCUUUACUAAUCUUUUCUUUUGCAAUGUCCAAUUAGCGAUUUUCAAUAUAAUCUUCAUUUUAGACAUUGUAGUAUUCCUCAUAACUUUUUUGGGAGGAUCUUUUUAAUGUCUUUUUUCUUUUUUUAAAUUUCAAGUUAUUUACCUGAUCAUGGAUCUUUUUUUAUAUCUUUGUUGUCUCUACCUACAUUUUGAACAUUUAAAAUAUACUUUAUAGUAAUUUUUAAUGUCCUCAUCUGCUAAUUCUAGUAUCUUUGUUGGUUCUGGCUUGGUGUCCCACCCUCCUCAUUAGUAGAUGUGUUUUUUGUGCUCUUUAUAUGCUUUAUAAUUUUAAUUGUAUGCUGGGCAUUCUGAAUUUUACCAAUAAAGUAAAAUUAUUAUACUAUUUGUAUUUCUAUAAAUAAUCAUGAGUUUUGUUCUGGGACACAGUUAAGUUACUUAUAAACAAUUGUGUCCCUUCCCUAACCCUGACCCUGACCCUGACCCUAACCCUAACCCUAACUCUAACAAUUGUGUCCCUUCCCUAACCCUAACAAACCUUAAAUGAGUAUUCAAGAGUCUUGCCUCACUAAUGGGGUGAAUUAACCCAAGACUAAAUACUUGUCAAAUGCCACCUAACAAACCUUAAAAGCAAGUCCUUAAAAGCAAGUCCCCUAACCCUAACCCUUACCCUAACCCUAACCCUAACCCUGCCACCAUGGCAGUAUGGUGAGACCCUGUCUCCAUUAUUUUAAAAAAUUGACAGGCUUUACCCGGGAAGGAUUAUACACAAUUUAAACACCCCUCAUAGUAUAAGAAAGUGCCCAUUUCACUGCACCUUUGCCAGCACAGGGUAUUAUAAUUUAGUAAGUCAUUUUUUGUUUGAUUAUUUUAAAUAGACAAAAGAUCUCAUAUUACUUUACUUGUCACAUUUCAACAUCUUUCCUUAGCUUAUUAGCUCUAUCUCUUUUCUGUCUGUAAAUGGUUGUUGUUGUUUUGUUCUUUGAGACAGGGUCUUGCUCUGUCACCAGGCUGGACUGUAGUGGCAUAAUCAUGCCUCGCUGCAGCCUUGACCUCCCAGGCUCAAACUUCAGCAUUCCGAGUAGCUGGGACUACAAGUGUGCACCACCACUCCCAGCUAACUUUUUUCUUUUUUUGGAUAGAGACAGGGUCUCACUGUGUCGUCCAGACCGGUCUCUAGCUCCUGGCCUUAAGCAAUCCUCCUGCAUUAGCUUCUCAAAUUGCUGGAAUUUCAGGCAUGAGCCACCAUGCCUGGCCUGGGCUAGUCCUGUAUUCUCUAGAGUUCUCUUUACUUUGUGCUAGCCAAUCUCUCAUUAUGCUGUUCACCUGUUAUAAUGAAUAAUUCUCUGUAUUAAAUGUUACCACUUUAAACUUUUGAGUGGUUUAUGCUUCCUGAUUGGACUCUGACUACUAUGUUAGGAAGGGUCCCAGGAGAUAAACCCACACAGAUGGGAUUUGGGCAUAGGUUUGGUUUCCCAGGGGGCAGUGCUGAGCUCUUUGCCAGUGGGAAAUGGGAUGCUGGCGAUUUCCAGGAAGUGACCUCACAAUGACUCAAGCUACCACUUACUGUUGAUUGUGACGAAAUGCCAGCUGAGGCACAUGCCUUGGGAGCUAAGUGGUUGCUGCCCUUGACCACUAUGAAGACUGGUGUGGGAAGGGUCGCUUUGCAUGCACUUGAGCAGGGGUCCCCAACCCCUCAGCCAUGGAGCUGUAGGGAGCCACACAGCAGGAGGUGGGACCAUCCAGUUUCAGGAAAACAAGCUUAACACGCCCACUGAUUCUACAUUAUGCUCCUACCUCCCGGCAGCCUCGCCAGGCCCAGAACUCUCUCCAGUCAGCCUCUACAGACCAAGCU